GAAGCACCACAGGUUCCAAAAUGCUGCUGGGUCAAGCAACAACCUUUUUUGUUUCCAGUGAAAUAACCAUUGUAGUGAAUUUAUUUGAAGGUGGCUGAAAGGGAAUCACUGGUCCAGCAUCUCCUUCCUUUUGACAUUGACAUUGAAGCAUUUCCAAUAGUUUUAAGUAGCUGCUUAAAAGAAGGAUCUCAGUGCUGUCUUUGUAUGAGUUAUGUGAUGCUGCUACUACUUGCUGAUACUGUGUUCUGUUCUCCAUUUGCCACACAUCUCACUCACAGAGAGAAAAGAAUUCCUUACUCUUCUGUUUCAAAAUUCUCUAGCCUUUUUUUACUCUAUUAUAAAUUUGGAGUGAAAUUCAAUUGCUGUCAACAAAGUAGUACCUGAUUGGCAGAAUGGUCUAAGAUUAUCUAAGGCACUUAAGAUCUUGGACAAAAGUGCAUCCAGUAAUAGAAAACCGUAUAAAUAUAUAAAACCAUACAAAUAAAUAGAAAGUCUUUCUUGCAUCUUUUGAAAAUUUUCAUAAGAUCAUAAGGAAAGAAAAGAUUGCUUAUUUAGCAAAAUAAAAGUGUAAUGCAUAAAGCAUUCUCUUUCUUUAAAAAAACUGCUCCUGUCUUCAAAAAUUGUGGUUUGGGUUCACAGGAAAAUUCAGGUUGAAAAUUAUCUCAGCAGAUCAUUAAUCCCACCUGUUCCUCAAAAAAGCCUGAGCAACAAGAUCAAACCAAGCUGCUGAGGGCUUUGUUCAGUGUGGUCUUGAAAACCUCCAAGGACAGAGACCACAUUCGUUCUAAAGUUUGACUGUCAUUGUGACAAAAAGGUUUUCCCUUAUGUCCAUCCUAACCUUUUCUUUUUGUCAUUAUCUCUCUUCCUCUCACAAGCCACACUGUCAAAAGCCUGGCUCCAGCUUUUGAUGGCCUUCUCUCAGGUGCUGGAGGGCUUCUGGAUCUCAUCUCCAAGUCUACGUGACUUUCAGAAAGCAUUUAUUGCUUCAAGAAAUUUUUUGUUGGACACAGACAGGCAAAAUUCCUUCUUUUAAUAAUCUCUCUUCAUAUAACUCCAAGAUUAAUUUGAAAUAAGCAUUUACUACAUUGAAGAAACAUUCAGAGGUCACAUUUAUCCUGGUCUUCAAUCUUCACUAAGGCACCUGUAAAACAGCACUGCUAAGCAUGGCAUUCCUCAUGCACAUCUCACUUCAGUCAAUUCACAUGAUAUCUAGUUUGAUUUGGUUCAAUGUUCAUAUGGUAAAUAGAAUUUAUUCAUUAUUUGCAACCAGAAUAAAUCCAAAUAUCUUUUUUUUUCUUUUUUUUGGUGGGAAUUUCUUGAGCAAGUAGCUCUAGAGUGCUAGAUUGCAUAUAGAUAUUUCUGGGAUUAAUUGAUGCCAGACAUUGUGGAUCAUCUCAUCUUUUAUUUCAACACAUUUCUAAUCUUCUACAUAGUUAAUUUCAGAAGAAGAUGCAUGUCCUCUGUUGUGUUACAGCACUGUAGCUUCUGGGAGGGUCAGGAUAUCACCCAGAUUUAAUAAAGGCCAAGUGUCUGUUCUCAUUUAUGUUGAAUCUGCCAGAGUUCUGUACACAGUCUGGACCUGCAUUAGUGAAACCCGUGAGCUAACCAGGUUUUGGCUUGGGCAUUUCACCACUUCCUGGCCACUGCAGCUUUCCAGAGAGCUCCAAGAAGAAAAUGCAUAACCUUAUGUUGAGUUUCUCUUUCUUGGAAGAUGGACAUGCCCUAACUCAAUCUCCCUCUGUCACUCCUGAUUUUUUUUAAAAAAGCUUUGAAGAGGAAUAAUGAGGUUCACAUGUGGAACAGUGUAAGUAUGUAAUGUAAUAUAUUCUUACCUGGUUUAAUCAAUCAUGAGAUGCAAGUAUUUUAUGUCAUUAGUAUAAACUGAGAGCAUCUCGACAUAAUAAAGUGUUAAGAUCUUAAAAAUGUUGCUGCAAACAUGCAGCUGGUGAAUAUAGAUGCCAAGAAGAUGAACAUCUGGAAAUGCCUUGUUGCAUAUAGCAUAUUUGGUAGCUCUAUAUAUAAUGUGUUUGUCUUUUCAAAGUGAAUUUUUAAUAACCACAACAAUCAAACCACUGGUUUUAUGUUAUAUCAUAUGAAUCGCUUUUAUUGUUGCUUUAAUCAAUGUUAAAAAAUAUUUUUCUAAUUUUUUUCUUAAUAUUUUUAUUGCCUGCAAUAUUUGCUCUGAAAUCCCAUCUAUAAGACAAGCAAAGUAAACUGUCUUGCCAGAAGAAAUUCAAUAGUUCUCUUAUUUAUAUUUAAUAUGGUUCUAAAAUAAUUUCCUUAAUUCUUCUCUGCAGUGCAGAGUUUAAAAGUCAUUCAAGGAGCAAAACUAAUUAAAAUAGUUCAGUAUUUCCUUGUUGAAACUGUUCUGGCUGAAAUGCUUAGCACACGAAAGAAUGAAUCCCCAGAUCUUUGCAUCCACUUUGACAACUACUUCUGUACAGAGACACUUCUACCAGAGAAACUAGUCCAAAAAUCAUUCUCCAUCAGAAGCUUGAUAAUAACAGGAGCAGUCAAGAUAUCUUUCAACUUAUUUUAUUACUUAAUUUAGAAACUGCUUAUUUGUGUUGAUGUAAAUUAUACUUCUGAUCACAGUGGUAUUUUUUCUGGCUUUUGAAAACCAGUGAGGAAAGUGAGCAAACCAUGUCAUUUUUUUUUUUAUGGUCAAUCUUUUAUUUCACAUCUAUCCUUGUUCAAGAUUUGUUGGGGAGUGUAAGAACAAUAGGUAAAGCAUUUAAGAACACUGAAUCCUUUGACUUGCUCCAAGUAAUACACAAAAAGUGAUUAUUAUGUAUAUUGUAAACCAGGAUGUAAUUUUGGUUGUCAUCUGUCCUUUCCAGAAUGGCUCAGAUUUUCUAUGAGAAAAUUUCUAUGAUCUAUAAUUUCUAUGGAUCCUAUUGGGUCAGUCACACUGAGGAAGAAAGACAAGUGAAGGAAUAAUCAAGGAGAUCAUGCCCAGUCCUGGAUGCAAAAUAUGUUUUGUGAGAUGUCAUUCCCUAGUUUUGAAACCAGAUGCACUCUUACAUUCUAUAUUGGCAGGGAGCACUGGCAAGGCAGGACCUUGGAAGAACAGUCUACUUCCACAUUCAGCUACUAUUGAAAAGUUCUUGCAUUCCACAUUUUUUAUUCCUAAAGUUUGUGAACCCAAGUUUUGUUUAUUUUUUAAUAAGAAGAGCAUUAGAAAAGCAACAAGAGAAGUUAAGACUAGAGAGUGUGCUUUGUCAUCCUGUCAUAAAAAGCAAUUUGCUAGUAUUAUUAUUUCAGCACAUUGUAUAUGAUAUCUUUUUAUCGGGAAGCCAAAUUUAAUUUCUGAUGUGGUAAGCCAUGUUGAACUCCCUCUUCCAGAUUCAGAACUCACAAAAACCAUACUUCAAAAUGUAUAUAUUGGGCUUUCUUUUUUCCAGUGGCAAGGCAUCAUUUCUGGGCUACUGAACAGAUUCUGGCUUUAUUUGGUUCCUAUAUUGCAGCCUGACACUAGAGGGGGAAGAACCAGUAGGAAAUACUGUAUUAUGCAAAUAAGCAUACUUUGGUGAUGUUAGUGACUCAGUUUGCAAAACCUUAGAAAAUUAAGAUCCCAAAAGCUAGUCUGAGUGGACAUUUUUUCUUAAGGCAUGAUACACUGCCAACUUUGUCAGUUGGCAUGCUUUGUUGAUUUGAACUGAAGGAACAGAAGCGGACAAAAAAUCUGAUUAUGUGCUGUAUUUGUUCACUUAUAUCUUAUAGUUUCAUGGCCUUAAUUGUGAAAUGUACUUCAACUGAGAAAAUUCAUCCCAGCACAGCUGUGCACAACUCCAUGGUUUUCAUCCAUUCCAGAAAACCAAUAGGUUGGCAUUCUCUGGGCCUGGUAGUCAUGGAUCCUAUCAACAACAACAUAACAAACACCUGGAUCUCCUACCAGAGACAGCCCUGCUAAUGCAAUACCCCAGGCUUGUCUACCCGUAUCAUUGCACUGGGAAUGGAAUAAAAAGCUGUACCUUUUAGUUAUGCAAAUCAGACCCAAGAAUGAUGUUCUUGUUAGAUACUGUGUAAGUAAAUGUCAUCCUUAACACCAAACAAGAGAAGACCUUCCAUCAGUGAUAAUAAGCUGGAUGUCUCAGCUGAUUUAGAUCAGUUUGCUUCAUAAUGUUGUCGCAGUGCUCAGUAAUAUCACUGCUACUAUAACUUCCAUCUCCCAAUGUUUUGCUUUUUCAGCUGAAAAGAAAUACCAGACCACCAAGGUUUUGAGUCCUUACACAUUGCACUUCCCUAUUGAAAUCUUUCUGUUCCCCUACUCACAUUAACAGAGCAGUCCCAGACAAAGUCCAGGAUGGUCUCCUGGGUAUUAUCCACAAUAGUUUUCACUUUUCAGAGUGGAAAGUGGCCUUCUGCUGCUUAUCGGUCAUCCUCCUCUGGAUGAUGGCCCCAGGUUAUGAGCACAGUACAAAUGGCAAGUCUGGGGAUUCUUACAGAUACAGAUAUGAAUGAAAUAAUUUUUCAGUCUUUUUCAGUGAGCACUACCUCUUGUUUGAAGAUAGGAGUAAAACCAUAUGAAUGCUUAGCAAAGUAGGGAUAUCUGUAUCCAGAACAUUUUAACUGUAAGGGAGUAUAAUAACAAAAUUGCAGCCCUAGCCACCUAGCCAUCUUCGUGUGUGUGUGUGUGUGUGUGUGUGUGUGUUUGUUUUCUUUCAGAAGCAGUGUGACAGAUGACACUUGCCAUAAAGCUCUUCCUACAGAAAAAAUGCAAGCCCAGCUCAUUUCCAGUGCAUGAUAAUUAUUAAGGCUCCCAUGAGUGAAACUCUGAUACUUUUUUAGCUAAUGAUUAACCAUAAGCCCUCCUUCCCCCUUAAGCAUUUGGAUUAAAAAGGAAAUACAGAGACUGAAGGCAGUAGGCAUGAAUGGUUUAUUCUCUAACUCUGUGGAAUAAACAGUGGAGUCAUCUCAUAGGGUUCAGGAGCAGUAGGCCAGGCAGUGAGGGGAUUGAUCUUAUAAGGACUAGAAAAGAAAGAGGUUCUUUUGUGUGACCCAGUUGAAUUCAGGAUGUUUAUAAGCUUCACCAUGCCGAUUUUACUGAUGCCAGCAAUGUUGGUAUGGUACAGACAGCAGCUAUUGACUUUUCCAUUUAUUCAGCUCCAUACUUUUAUUUCUGGGGAGUCUGCUGUAAUUAGAGAGUUUAGAGCAUUUUGUUGUAGAGAAGUCUAGUGUUUAGAAUAAGGCUUUACUUAUCAAGACUUUAGGAGUCUAUCUGUGACUCUAUAUUCAUAUGACCUGGGGUAAGUCAUAUAAUCACUGUUUUGAUUCAGCUUCCCAGACUGGAAACUAAUACCAGCGUCAGAGGGCUUUAUUCAUUUGAUUGAGAUCUUUGGAUAAAAGCUAAUAGAAGAAAGACAAUAUGAUUCACAGUCUUAUUAAGAUAUAAAUGUUCACCCUUUAUUUUGGAUAGAGAACAGAUGUGGAGGGAUAAAAUUUCUCUGUUAGUCUCAUUUUGUAAGCCCUGAUACCCUGAUGUUUUAUUGAAAAACUCUCCAGGGCAGUAGCUGGGAACAUGGGUGUGUGAUUCCUGGUGUUUUGGGAAGGUGACAUCUUGGAAUAGUAACCUAUGAAGUGCUGAGCAGGGACUGACAAGGACAGAUCAGCAGCAUGCCCCUCCUCACCAUGCACAGCCAGCAGAUCAGCUGGACUCCACUGCUGGUACUGGGGUACCUCUUCUACCUCCUCCUGGGUGCUAUGGUGUUCCAGCUUCUGGAGAAGCAGGCAGAAACACAUUUUCGGGACCAGUUCCAGCUGGAAAAGCUCAAGUUCCUGCAGAAUUACACAUGCUUGGACAGACAAGCCCUGGAGCAGUUUGUACAGGUCCUCAUGGAAGCAUGGGAAAAAGGAGUCAACCCAGAAGGAAACUCUACAAAUCCCAGUAACUGGGACUUCAGCAACUCCUUCUUUUUUGCAGGAACUGUUGUCACCACUAUAGGUUAUGGUAACCUGUCCCCCAGCACAGUGGCAGGGCAGAUCUUCUGUGUGUUUUAUGCCUUAUUUGGAGUGCCUCUCAACCUGGCCUUCCUUAAUCAGCUGGGGAAAGCUCUCAAUGCUCAUCUGCUUACCCUGGAAAGAUGGGUGCAAAAGCCAGGACGUGCCCAGGUGGUUCAAACACUAGCAGUGGCCAUCUUCCUGACCACUGGGACUUUGCUUUUCCUGGUGUUCCCACCAUUAGUGUUCAGUUACGUAGAAGGCUGGAGCUAUGGAGAAGGCUUUUACUUCACCUUCAUCACCCUGAGCACCAUUGGAUUUGGAGACUAUGUAGUAGGUACAAACCCCAACAAGCACUAUAUCCCUGUGUACAGGAGCCUAACUGCGAUAUGGAUUGUUUUUGGCUUGGCCUGGCUGGCUCUGGUCUUCAACGUGGGAGCUGACUUGAUGGAAAGAUACCUUCAGCUAAAGUGGCACAAGUCUGACUUAAGCUUGGCAGAAGGAGACACCACCAAACUGGAAGAUGAACCUGAGCAGCCUAGAAUCCAUAUCCCUAGCUGAGUAAGUGGGAUUCAGUUCUUAUGGUCACUCAUUUUCAAAAAAAUCCAGAGUGACUGCCUCCCAGCUUCAAUAAGAAGUUAUUUCACCAAGAAUCUCAAGUGGAAAAAGUCAGGGUAUCAUCCAAGCCUACAAGAGUGGCAUAACCCUCCAGGGAAACACCACUAGCCUGGGCAGGUGGGACUACAGUGGGUCUUUCUUCUUCUCCAUAUCUGCAAUAACAACCAUUG